rnacentral:lncRNA from 1 species
AGCCUCAUCCUACUGCCUUACUAUUGGUCGUCGGCAACCGCUUUGUUAGUUAAUUGGAGAGACUGGAUGUCCAUCAGGGUCACGCUUGCAGGGCAACGAGAGGCAAAACAAGAGGGAAGACGACUUUCCUCCUGUGAGCCAAUGAGGCCAGCUGGACUACGCCGAGACAACUGGGAGAGGCGCGGGACUCGCCCGUUCCGCGGAACGCCGGGAAGGGGUCACCUCCUGAUGAAGUUUCCGGUUCCGGUGUCAGCGGCGGUUGAAUUGCCAUGGCAAUGCGGUGGGCGCGCGCUUGUCGUGUUGGUCUCUUGGGAGGUAGCGGGGCUAGGCCGGGCGGGUAUCCGCCUCUCCCAGCUUAGGUGAGCGUCCCCGGGCGCCUCCGGAGCGCCGCGGCCGCAUGCAGUUCGUCGUGGCGGGGAGCCGGAGCCUGACCGGGGUUCCAGCGCUCGGGCCGUAGCCUUGGCUCCUGGACUUUCCCUGGCUCCGCCGCCACGUGGGAGCUGAGGCUCUGGGGCUUCCGCCUCCGGCGCGCGAUUAUUUCUCUAGAACAGUUUUCAUUUUUAAAAUUUGUAAAGCGCUUUUGCCUGUGUGAUUUCCUCUGGGUUUUUUUUUUUUUUCUUCCUUUUUGUAGAGACGGAAUUGGCGGCGGGGGCGGGGGGUCGAUGUCUCACUUUUUUGCCCAGGCUGGUCUCGAACUCCUGGCUUCAAGGGAUCCUCCUGCCUCGGCCUCUUAAAGUGCUGGGAUUACAGGCGUGAGCCACCGCCCCCGGCCGCCUCUGAGUUUCCAGCCUCGUUGGCCCUCCAGCCUUUUAACCUGUUGGGCCUAGGAUCAGGAAAGGUUUGUUGAAUGGGGAACUAAGAAGUGAAUUCGUUCGUUCGACAAACGUUUCCUGAGCAGCCGCUGGGUGCUAGGCGCAGUGCCAGCGCGGAAUGUCCAGGGAGACCUGGUGCCCAAAGCUUGGACCCAUCGUGAGAAAUGAGAAGCAGAUACAAAGCAGUGUGGGAGUGCAGAGGAGACAAAGCAAGCCUCAUCAGGCCCAUUGCUUGCUCUGCUCUCCCUUGUACUUACCAGUGCUUGACAAUAUACAGUUAUUUACUAGCUUGGUUAUUGACUUCCUACCCAGCACUCAGUUUUAUUCACUGCUGUAUCCUCAGUGCCUAGGACGAUGCUUGGAACGUGGUAAGUGCUCCUAUUGGCGGGAAGAAUAAAUCCGGAAGAGCAGGACCAGUGGACUUGCUACAUAAUCUGUAGUCUUGGAGCCGCACAGGGUUGGUGGUACCCUCGAGCACACCAGACUUGCAGAAAAAGCAUACUCCAGAGGAAGCUGAGGCAUGCCUGCUCGAGAGCCAGCUGUUCCAUGUGCAAUUUUCCUCUGAUAGUUUCUGGUCACUGUUGCCACGGUGAUAAUGACUGGGCUAUGUCAUUAUCUAUCCGCCAACAGUAAGAGAAGCUUUGCAGUCGAGAUAUUGUUUAGCAGAUGGAGUGUUUUCUGUUGAACACUAAGUACUGCCACAAGUUACUUUUUUUUUUUUAAACUUUGAGUAUUUUUUUACAAUGUUGCUGGAGGUGAUCUGUUUAUGCUUUGAGAGUGUUCGAAUUUAAAAUCAGAAAAUCAUGUCAGUGAGUGAGUCUUUCAAAUAAUCCUUCGGCAUGAAACCUGAGCCUAGUAAACUAUGAAAGUAAACUCGGCACAUUACCCGAAAGUCUCAAUGUCAUAUUUUCACCCCCAUCAAUAUUAUUGAUGAUUGCUCAUUUUCUAAUGUGGGACCUGAAAUUUACCAGGUGCUUAAAGAAUCUUUUUGUUUUUCAGAUUCAUUGAUUCCAGGUAAAUCAGAGGAACAAGCAACAUGAACAGAAAUAUGUAGAAAAAGCUAUUAUGCAGAAGCAUAAUUGUUGUUUCAGAAGUCCAGCAUCUGGUGCACUUAACAAUAGAGAAUAUAUUAAACUCUUUCCAAAAUAAAAAAAAAAAAAAAAAAAAA